rnacentral:sRNA from 1 species
GCUUGGCUGCGGCCAGGUGCUGGCUGAGGCCAUGGGCGACCGCGGCGGCUCCCGGCGCCGGAGGACAGGGUCGCGGCCCUCGAGCCACGGCGGCGGCGGGCCUGCGGCGGCGGAAGAGGAGGUACGGGACGCCGCUGCGGGCCCCGACGUGGGAGCCGCGGGAGACGCGCCAGCCCCGGCCCCCAACAAGGACGGAGACGCCGGCGUAGGCAGCGGCCACUGGGAGCUGAGGUGCCAUCGCCUGCAGGAUUCUUUGUUCAGCUCUGACAGUGGCUUCAGCAACUACCGUGGCAUCCUGAACUGGUGUGUGGUGAUGCUGGUAUGGCAUCCUGGUGGACCCCAUCCAGGUGGUUUCUCUGUUCCUGAAGGAUCCCUAUAGCUGGCCCGCCCCAUGCCUGGUUAUUGCGGCCAAUGUCUUUGCUGUGGCUGCGUUCCAGGUUGAGAAGUGCCUGGCGGUGGGUGCCCUGACGGAGCAGGCGGGACUGCUGUUGCACGUGGCCAACCUGGCCGCCAUUCUGUGUUUCCCAGCGACUGUGGUCUUACUGGUUGAGUCUGUCACUCCAGGUGCGCCCCCAUCCCACCCUGCCUGUCUGUCUUGGGCCGGCCACGGGCAUGGCCUCUGGCUGUGGCCCUGUGGAGGCCUGAGUCCACCUCUCCUGCAGUGGGCUCCCUGCUGGUGCUGAUGGCGCACACCAUCCUCUUCCUCAAGCUCUUCUCCUACCGCGACGUCAACUUGUGGUGCCGCAGGGCCAGGGCCAAGGCUGCCUCUGCAGGGAAGAAGGCCAGCAGUGCUGCUGCCCCGCACACCGUGAGCUACCCGGACAAUCUGACCUACCGCGG